UACGUAGGCAGCGAGCGUUGUUCGGAGUUACUGGGCGUAAAGGGUGUGUAGGCGGUUUUCUAAGUUUGGUGUGAAAUCUCCCGGCUCAACCGGGAGGGUGCGCCGAAAACUGGGAGACUAGAGUGCGGGAUGGGAGAGUAGAAUUCCUGGUGUAGCGGUGAAAUGCGUAGAUAUCAGGAGGAAUACCGGUGGUGUAGACGGCUCUCUGGACCGCCACUGACGCUGAGACACGAAAGCUAGGGGAGCAAACAGG
rnacentral:rRNA from 1 species